rnacentral:tRNA from 1 species
AAGAAAGCAUGCAAGAACUGCUAACUCAUGCCUCCACGCCUAAACCCGUGGCUUUCUUA